CAAUACAAAACAAUGAUUUACAUACUAAUGGUAGGAAACAUUUCUUCAAUUUGAGGAAUAUAGCAGUGUGAAUUUUCCUUACACAUUUCACUGACCAAAAACAACACAAUACAUUUAACUUACUUAUCUACAAAUACAAGACAAUGCAACAGGGGAGAAGAUAAAAAAAUUAAAAAAAAUAGGAAAAAAUAAGCUAAAUCUGUUUGUCGGGGGGGAGGAGAAGAUGCAGGUCGAGCAAAACUAUGUAUCUUAUAUUAUCCAAGGUAUAAACG